GAUUUUCUACCGGGGUGUUAAAAUGUAUCGAAAGAUAUAUACUGAGAAAAACCCGCUGAACCUGAACUGGAUAAUGCCAGCGCAGGAAGAAAAGAAAUUUAUUGU
rnacentral:ncRNA from 2 species